rnacentral:rRNA from 1 species
UACGAAGGGGGCGAGCGUUGUUCGGAUUUACUGGGCGUAAAGGGCUCGUAGGCGGCCAACUAAGUCAGACGUGAAAUCCCUCGGCUUAACCGGGGAACUGCGUCUGAUACUGGAUGGCUUGAGUGUGGGAGAGGGAUGCGGAAUUCCAGGUGUAGCGGUGAAAUGCGUAGAUAUCUGGAGGAACACCGGUGGCGAAGGCGGCAUCCUGGACCACGACUGACGCUGAGUGGGCGAAAGCCAGGGGAGCAAACGGG